rnacentral:rRNA from 1 species
UUUAGUGCUGCAGCUAACGCAUUAAGCACUCCGCCUGGGGAGUACGGCCGCAAGGCUGAAACUCAAAGGAAUUGACGGGGGCCCGCACAAGCGGUGGAGCAUGUGGUUUAAUUCGAAGCAACGCGAAGAACCUUACCAGGUCUUGACAUCCUCUGAUCUCUCUAGAGAUAGAGCUUUCCCUUCGGGGACAGAGUGACAGGUGGUGCAUGGUUGUCGUCAGCUCGUGUCGUGAGAUGUUGGGUUAAGUCCCGCAACGAGCGCAACCCUUGAUCUUAGUUGCCAGCAUUCAGUUGGGCACUCUAAGGUGACUGCCGGUGACAAACCGGAGGAAGGUGGGGAUGACGUCAAAUCAUCAUGCCCCUUAUGACCUGGGCUACACACGUGCUACAAUGGACGGUACAAAGGGCAGCAAGACCGCGAGGUGGAGCUAAUCCCAAAAAACCGUUCUCAGUUCGGAU